CCUCCGGCCUCCCCGCACAGGAGGCCGGACAGAGGUACGCGGCGCUCUCUGCCCUGACAGCGCCGAGGACCUCCCGUAAGGCCGAGGGGCACCGCACACCCGUCGGCCGGCAGUUCCGGGCUGCGGUGCCGGACGGGCCGAGGGUCCCGCCCCGGCGC
rnacentral:ncRNA from 1 species